AUGGAGGGGACAGAGAGGAAGGAGGGGACAGAGAGGAUGGAGGGGAAAGAGAGGAUUGCUGCUCCUAUGUCCUUGGCUUCCUGAGGGUCGCUGGGCAGUGCUUGCUUUCACGGUGGGUGUCUUUCUGCUCUGCUCUCCCUCCUUCCCUUUCUCCCCAGGAUGCUCACACAUGCACACUCACAUGUGGUCACGCACAUGGGCAUUUGCAUAUGCACACUCGUGCACGUUUGCACACAUACCUGCACACUUGAACACAACUGCAUUUGGACGCACAUGUACAUGAAACACGUGCACGCACACACAUUUGCAUGCAUAGGUAUUUGCGUACAAAUACACACCCACCCAUGUGCACACACACCCAUGCAUACACCUACACUUGUACACACCCUUGCAUCUGUCUCUGCAGUCUCCCUUCUCUCUCCGGGAGCCUUACCUGCCUCCCCUCCAUUGGAAGGGUAGGGGCCUGGCCUUGUCGCCCAUCUGUCUGCCUCCUGUCUGUCUGUCUCCCAGUGCAGGGGGGCCUCCUAAGGACCGGCUGCCAGCACCACCGCCCAGCGGAAGUCUCAGAGUGGCAGAGGCUGAGAGGAAACCGCACUCUCGCUCAGGGCGCCCGCAGCUCCUGUCCGCUGGGGGAGGAAGGGCAGCUGAGGCUGGGGAGUCGCCUGAGAGGCAGGGGCAAAUAAGCUCUAGCAGCCUCCUCACCGGGGUGCACUUUAGCCCCAGACCUCUGCCUAGCAUGGUGGGCAGCCAGUGCCCCCCCAAGGAUGGGGACCCAUGGUGAGUCUUCUCCAGGCAGCUCCUUCUUAGACACGGGUCCUGGUGUUAUCGUGUGGGUAAAGAAGGGUGGCAGGACGGUCAUUCCAGGGAGGUGCCCAGCUGGUGUCCUGGGUGAGCCCAUGGCAGGUGCCCGACUGCCUCUUCUGGAGGGCAGUGGGGCACAGGGCCAGGUGCCAGGUGGAAAGGAAGGGGCAGUGGUGGCCUGUGUCCCUGGAAUUACCUGGUCCAUUUGGCGCCCUGAACCUGCCCUGCUGGGACGCCAUGCCUGAGUCUAGGCACCACCCCCCACCUUCCAACUGUCCCUUGAUAACAGCCUCUUGCCCUGGGUGGAGAAGGAUGAUGCUUUAUGGAGACUGACUCUCCAGGCCCAGCACGGCUGCAGCAGAUGCCAUGAGGGACCCAGCAGCAGACCUGACCCUCGUCCCGCAUGGUCCUGACCUCACCUGUUGCCAUGAGGCCGGACACCUACGAUGACCCAUCUCCUGCCCCUGUUCUCAGGAGGGGAGAAGGGAGGCCCGUCUCCCAGCCAGGGGGCAGCGAGGCAGGACCUCUGGCAGCCUCAUCUCCUGAUGCUCACACCUCCACCCCAGGAGGCGGCUACAGAUUCGGAGGCAAAAAAUGGGAUUAUGACACACGGAGAGGAUGCCAGCCCCUCUGGCAGGCGCUGUGGAAAUGGCUGCUGUUGCUGGUGGCAGGAGGAAUCCUCAAUGUACCUGCAAAUCCAGACAUCCUCACAGGGGCCAAAGGCUGCGUGGGCUCUCAAGAGACAAUCGGAGUCACACUGGGGACUUUCUCCGGGUUGGUGGUGAGAUUCGAAGCAUCUUGGGCAACUUUGAUCUUCCUGAGCUUCUUUUAUGUAAACGUGCUGUGCAAACUGAAGCAGGUUGUGAGGUCCUGGCCGGACCCCAACCUCUUCCUCCCUUUGAACCACCAUAAUCACCAUCAUCUCUUACACUGGCUUUUGCCCUGAAAGUUUUAAAUCCUUCAUUUUAUUUCUUUCCAGCAAUGGCUUUGAAAAGUUGGCAGGCCAAGUGUUAUUAGCCCCACUUUACAAGGUGGGAAACUGAGACCCAAGGGUUUCAGUGGCGGGGCUGGGACUGGGACCCGGGCCCCCUCUCCCCUCUCAAGGCUCUUUGUGCAGGGCGGCUGGAUCACAUAGGUCGGCACCUCUGGCUGGGCCGUUGGCUGAGGCUGUGGGCAAGCUAUCUUGGGUGCUCAUGGCCUGAGGCCUGGUGAGGAAGGAGGGUUUUAAGUAGUAAGGGAUAAUAAGCAGGUCCCAUCCUCUCCUCCUUCUAUGCUCAGAUUCCUCAAUCAACAAGCUUCUAAGCAGCAUCUCUACUCCCUGCACACAUGCAGGUGCACACACACACGUGCACCUCUUCAUGCUUUUAUCCCUCUUGGUUGGGGGGUCCAUCCCCACCAUGCCAUUAAGUGUGUUCUGGCAAAGUCUCUGAUGAUACUUUUAAAAAAACCUCCUGAAUCUAUGAGUUGACUGGGCUCAGCUGGGAGGUUCUUCCGCCUGGGGCUGUAGUCAUGUAUAAACUUGACUAGACCAGAGCCCCCAAGAUGUCUCACGCACGUGACUGGCAUUUGAUUCUGAUUUUGGGCUGCUCACUCGGCUGGGGCUGUUGAUGGCAAGGCUAUGCGUGUCCCAGGCUGGGCUUCUCACGGCCUGGCGACCUGGUUCUGCCAGGGAGUGCCCCAAGAGACGUCAUUUUAAGAAAGAGGAAGUGGAAGCUGUCAGUCUUCUUAAAGACUAGACCCAGACCUGACACAGCAGCUAUGGGAGGUCUGAUGACAUCUUAAGUACCAAAUCCAGUGGACCACUGAGGCCUCAUCUAAAUGCACGUCUCUGGCCACAUGACUUGGCUGCCCUCCGUUCACCCUUGACCUCCAAGGCAUUCCUCUCGCUUGGUCCUUCCCCUCCUCUCCAUUUCCUUCCAGGAUCCUCUGAUGAUUUCUCUUCCCCAGGGUCCUUCUUGCUUGUUUCACCCUUGACCCUUUUCUCUCUCCACCCUCCACAUUGUCCUGGAGAUCUCAUCCAGCCCCGUGAUGCUGAUGCCUCAUUUGGACCUCGAAUCUCCAGCCCACACCUGAGAGCUAGCCCUGGGUCUCCAACCCUCUCCCACACAUUCCUGCCCACAGGCAGAAUUAAGAAUUCCAAAGUGCAUCCGCAUGAUCCCAGCCAGAGAGGAAGGGGUCAUCUUUUCCCCCAGAUUCGUCUCUCCCCACGUGGUCUCCAACUCAGGGAGCGGCACCACUUCAUCCCGCCCCCCCCAACCAGCCUUCCGACCCCAACCAGGGCUCCCACAGCAUUCCUGGAUGAUGGAACAGGCGCUGCUUGAUAAUCAGGAAAGAAAAACAGCCAGAAGUCAUUUUAAAAAAUAAAAGGCAGGAACGUCCAUGUCUCAAGGAUUUUUGUUUCUUUAGAGGGAAAGCAGAUAGAUGGUUUUUUAAACCAGAGAUCUGGGAGCAGCCCCAGCUUAAUUGGAAAACCUCAUUCAAACAGGCUGGAGGGACCUCAGGAAUGGCAAACAGCUCCUCCCCGCUCAGAGGAAUUUCCUGGAAACCUUAAUGGCUGCUCUUCCCAACCACAGGCUGGUCUUUCUGGCAGAAUUAGCGCAAUCGUGUGGUCAGGGUGGCCAGGCUGGAGCCAGCCUGGAUGCUUCUGUAGCCUGGGCUCCCUCAGGACCAACAAGUGGGGGCCGGGGGCCGGGGGAGCGUGUGGCGCCCAGGAGCUGAGGGUCACGUAGGGAACUGCUGUGCGGUCAGGACCUGCCGGCGGGCUGCUCUUGGCCUGAGCUAGGAAUAGCGCCCAGACCCCUCAGCAGUUCCCUGCCUCCCCAGGAGCAGAGGGGCAGGGGGAAGUGCAGGGGGAGAGAAAGGGUUGGCGAUUGCUGAGUGCUGGCUCUAUGUGGAGCAGUUCCCUGUUCCUUUUCCUAAGGGACGGUUGGUUACCACCUCCAUUUUUCUUAAGAGGAAACUGGCUCAGGGAGGUUAAGAACGUGCCUGUGAUGUCACAGAGGAAGUGCUGGGAUCCCACCAGGUCUGUCUGACUCCAGCCCAGCCCUAGGUGCUGCUUGUCUGGUGCUGAGGGUCCAGCCCUCUGAUGGGGAGAGGCAGGGCGACCCGGACCUCUGAGGGUGGGCCCAGCAGCACAGGGUCCAGGAUGGGGCUCAGCAAUGUCAGCACAGGGAUGUCCUCAACCAGCGUGGCUGGGCUGAGCUGGGUCUCCCCAUAACAUGGUGCCUCCCCUCCUCCCGACCUGUUCUCAGACAACGGGCCAGUACAGAACACCCUUCCGCUACUAAGGCCAGGGGCGGGUGAGUAAAGGAGGGGACAGGCUCUGGAUCCAUCCAUAGUGAUGGGGACAGGCAGAGAGGCGGUUGCCUCCUCCUUAGCAGGGCUGGGAGGGUUUUAGAGGCUGGUUGGGUCUUUCUGGGUACUCUGCUGGAGCUUUAGGGGUGGAAUGACCUGUUCUGGGUAUUUCAUAGGAAUGCAGCCUUUGGAGGGUACAACCUCAUGAACCGUAGGUCAGGGGCUUCUUGGGAUGUCAGAACAAUCAAGUAUGACUGAGUCACUUAUGAUUUUUCCCUAUUGGUGUAGUUAUUUUAUUUAAGAAUGUCUGCUUACAAGGUAGAAGCAAAAAUCACACACAGAUGGGAGCAAAAUUUGCAGAAAUACAACAUGAGUAAUUAAAAAAAUUUUUGUGUGUGUGUGUGUGUGUCUCUCAAAGAUAAAGUCCCUUUAAAAAACCGUGACCACAAUCCGUGGUCACACCAGGCAGGCCUUUAAUGCUGAAAUUCCACUGUUUAGUUACAGAUGGCUCUGACUUCCUGUUUGACCCACGAGGGGUGGAAGGUUGUAGAAAUAGCAAUUUAGAGCAACACCUCCUUGCGUACUUAGCAUAUGCCAGGACCUGGAUGAAAUACUUUCCUUGUGUUAAUCCCUUUGAACCUCCCAACACAACUACUACAUAGGCACUGAUACUGUACCCAUUUUAAGGAUGGAGAAACCGAGGCACAGAGAAGUUAAGUUACGUCUCCAGAGCAGCACAGUGUGGUAUUCCUGGCUGGCGCAGAGCAAGUGAGGGUGGGGCAGCAGGAGAGAAACGGGUCCAGGUUGGCCUCUCUAUUCCAGGCAUUCCAGGUGGAUUUCCUGGGAUGACCAUGAAGCCCUGAGAGGCAUCCAGCAAGGAGUUCACCUGUCGCCGGGUUUAAUAAAGCUUAUGCCAGAUAUUUUUAUGUGCUUUUCUUAAAGAGUCCCUGCAUAUGUAUAAGCUUCAAGUGUCCCAAAUCCUGGAUCUUCCCCUUCCAAACUCAGCUGUUUAAGAAUAAGCAGCCUAACCCUCCUUGGGCAAGGGUCUGAUAAGCAGGCCAGGGGGCCUCUUCAUUUCCGCUUCACCCAGGGGGCUCCUGAGCCCACUGGCCGAAGGCGCAGGCCUGCAUAUCGUCCUGCCUUCUGAGCUGGUGAGAGGUGGUGCUGAGGCCUCCUCACUUGCAGGCAGGCAAUGGGGUCUUGCUCUCGGUGUUCCUUAUUUUAUACCUCAUGGUGGCCCCAGUCCUGUGAGAUGCCACUGGGGCUUAUUUUCUCCAUGCUUCUUCUAGAUGUGGAAAAUCACUCAUUCAUUUAUUCAACAAAGGUGUGCCAGUGCCCACCAAGUUCCUGGCGUGCAGCCAAGCGGGAGGGACAGUACGGUGAGCAAGGGACAUACACCCACACCUUCAGGAGCUCUCACUCUAUGGGGGAAUUAAGCAGCGUGGGAAGUACGUGAAGAAGAAGGAGGUACAGGAUCCUGGG